AGCACUUGUGUAUUUUUGUUUAACUUGUGGAGGAAGACUUAUAGACAGGUGAAAAAAAAAAAAAAUCCUCUUUCACAAGCCAGAAGUCAUUGUUCAGAAUGAGUUUUGAUACAUGUAAGCAGGAAUAUU
rnacentral:snoRNA from 1 species